AACGCGAAGAACCUUACCAAGUCUUGACAUCCCUCUGACCGGGGCGUAACGGCCCUUUUCCUUCGGGACAGGGGAGACAGGUGGUGCAUGGUUGUCGUCAGCUCGUGUCGUGAGAUGUUGGGUUAAGUCCCGCAACGAGCGCAACCCCUAUGUUCAGUAGCCAGCAGGUAAAGCUGGGCACUCUGGAGAGACUGCCAGGGAUAACCUGGAGGAAGGUGGGGAUGACGUCAAAUCAUCAUGCCCCUUAUGAUUUGGGCUACACACGUGCUACAAUGGUGACAACAAAGUGGAGCGAGGCCGUGAGGCGGASCARAUCACAAAAAAGUCAUCUCAGUUCGGAUUGUAGUCUGCAACUCGACUACAUGAAGCUGGAAUCGCUAGUAAUCGCGGAUCAGAAUGCCGCGGUGAAUACGUUCCCGGGUCUUGUCACA
rnacentral:rRNA from 1 species